CGUACACUCCUGCGGGAGGCAGCAGUGGGGAAUUUUGGACAAUGGGCGAAAGCCUGAUCCAGCCAUGCCGCGUGCAGGAUGAAGGCCUUCGGGUUGUAAACUGCUUUUGUACGGAACGAAACGGCCUUUUCUAAUAAAGAGGGCUAAUGACGGUACCGUAAGAAUAAGCACCGGCUAACUACGUGCCAGCAGCCGCGGUAAUACGUAGGGUGCAAGCGUUAAUCGGAAUUACUGGGCGUAAAGCGUGCGCAGGCGGUUAUGUAAGACAGUUGUGAAAUCCCCGGGCUCAACCUGGGAACUGCAUCUGUGACUGCAUAGCUAGAGGACGGUAGAGGGGGAUGGAAUUCCGCGUGUAGCAGUGAAAUGCGUAGAUAUGCGGAGGAACACCGAUGGCGAAGGCAAUCCCCUGGACCUGUACUGACGCUCAUGCACGAAAGCGUGGGGAGCAAACAGGAUUAGAUACCCUUGUAGUCC
rnacentral:rRNA from 1 species